rnacentral:rRNA from 1 species
AACGAACGCUGGCGGCAUGCCUAACACAUGCAAGUCGAACGAGACCUUCGGGUCUAGUGGCGCACGGGUGCGUAACGCGUGGGAACCUGCCCUUAGGUUCGGAAUAACUCCCCGAAAGGGGUGCUAAUACCGGAUAAUGUCUUCGGACCAAAGAUUUAUCGCCUUUGGAUGGGCCCGCGUUGGAUUAGCUAGUUGGUAGGGUAAAAGCCUACCAAGGCGACGAUCCAUAGCUGGUCUGAGAGGAUGAUCAGCCACACUGGGACUGAGACACGGCCCAGACUCCUACGGGAGGCAGCAGUGGGGUAUAUUGGACACUGGGCGAAAGCCUGAUCCAGCAAUGCCGCGUGAGUGAUGAAGGCCUUAGGGUUGUAAAGCUCUUUUACCCGGGACGAUAAUGACAGUACCGGGAGAAUAAGCUCCGGCUAACUCCGUG